rnacentral:rRNA from 1 species
CACGUAGGGGCCAAGCGUUGUCCGGAUUUAUUGGGCGUAAAGAGCUCGUAGGCGGUUCGACAAGUCGGGUGUGAAAACUCCGGGCUCAACCCGGAGACGCCACCCGAUACUGUCGUGACUGGAGUCCGGUAGGGGAGUGGGGAAUUCCUGGUGUAGCGGUGAAAUGCGCAUAUAUCGGGAGGAACACCGGUGGCGAAGGCGGUUCUCUGAGCCUGACCUGACGCUGAGGAGCGAAAGCGUGGGGAGCGAACAGG